AUGGUUUCCACCCCAAGUCCAGUGCGCGAGAUCACAAGGCGUGUGCAUGAAAUGGGGUGCCCAUCAGGAACUGUGGGGGUCCAAGCAUCACCAACCAUGGAGUGCAUGAUGCCAGCAGACCCUCUUGUUACUGCAAACGCAUCAAGGGCAACCGCGAGCCGUCAGUUGUUAGCGCUGGGAGAGCUAGAGUUUGUUCAGAUUUCCAUGAUAUAUGUCUAUCUUGCAGGUAAGAAGAUAGAAGAUGUGGGUGUACUACAUGAGGACUAUAUUAGGUCCUUGAAUUCACUGCCCAUGGAUCGUUUUGAGUUGGAAAUAUGGAACAAAUUUGGUCACAAGUUUCUAGCAGAGUGUGAUAGGAGACAGAAUCUUGAUUGGGACCCAAGCAAGACAAGAGUGUACCAUUGCCAUAUCGAGCAAAGAGGUGAUUCCAUAGUUACGGUUUUCAAGGGGCCAUAUAUAGAGAACACAAGGACUAGUCUACAGAAAGUUGUUGGGGACGACAAUGUUCUUGUUGUGAACUUUUCAGAUAUAUCUGGGCACACCAAUGCUGGUGAUAACUUCGAAACCGGCUGUCACUUUUACCAUCACGUUUUUUAA
rnacentral:rRNA from 1 species